AGUGCAGUUGCUGGAUCAUAUGGUUAAGAGUGUCUAAUUUUAUAAGAAACUGCCAAACUGUCUACCAAAGUGGUUUUACCAUUAUGCAUUCCCUCCAGCAAU
rnacentral:pre_miRNA from 1 species